UCCUCUUCACUUUCUGCCAUAAGGGUGGUGUCAUCUGCAUAUCUGAGGUUAUUGAUAUUUCUCCCGGCAAUCUUGAUUUCAGUUUGUGCUUCUUCCAGCCCAGAGUUUCUCAUGAUGUACUCUGCAUGUAAGUUAAAUAAGCAGGGUGACAAUAUACAGCCUUGACGUACUCCUUUUCCUAUUUGGAACCAGUCUGUUGUUCCAUGUCCAGUUCUAACCGUUGCUUCCUGACCUGCAUACAGAUUUCUCAAGAGGCAGGUCAGGUGAUCUGGUAUUCCCAUCUCUUUCAGAAUUGCUUCAUUUUAUUGUGAUCCACAUGGUCAAAGGCUUUGGCGUAGUCAAUAAGGCAGAAAUUGAUGUUUUUCUGGAACUCUCUUGCUUUUUCAAUGAUCCAGCACCUGCCCUGCCCCAUUACAAAAAAUACGUUUCUCAUAUGCAACUGGUCUUCACCGGAAUUUCCAAGUCAAAGUUUCCAAAACCCUUGGACUUUCCUGAGCGGUUAGAGCUGCGGGAGCAGCCGUGAGUCAGACAGAGCCUCCAGUUCGCUUCUCAAACAGCCAGAUCCUUAGUCACAGGCCGAGGUGCCCGGGCCCUCCUGGCAGCACCCGGGUCGUCCCUCGCUCUCAGUGGACACGAUAAGAUGGCAGGCGGUUCCCAGGCCUCAGCCGCCCCGCCCAGAAGGACCCUGGACUCCCUUCCAAGUGGGCAUCAGCAGCGCAGCCACACCACCCAGGGCGCUCUGCCCCUGCCCCAGGGUUCGCGGCAACCUCAGACCAGCCCUCUGUCGGCUGGAGACUCUUCGAGGCGUUCUCAGGAAGCCCAAAGCAAAGGCCAGAGUGGGCUGGUGAGGAAGCGUGAUGCCCAGUCCAAGGAGCUGGUCAGUAAGGCUGCCUGAAGCUNCCUGCCACGUGCAGAGGCAAGGGUGGCGUCCACAGAAGACAGUGCAUCCCAGGCUCGGGGCCCAGCAAGGGCCUGGCAACCCAGAGUGCUCCAGCUUGCUGUGCGAAGAACCCAUGAUGGAGCUGGCCCCCACCUCACACACCAACAGCCACACCCGGCAAAAUCACGUUUACGCAAAGGACAGCCCGUUCAAAGGAUACCCUUCAACCGCGUGGCAUAUCUUUGCCAGUCUUAGGAGAGAAGCAGCAGUGCAUGGCUCAGGAGGAAGGGGCAAGAGGGGUGGCCGCUGGGCGGGUGAUGCCCGUGCGUGUGUGUGGCUGUGGCGCCCAUGCGAGCUGGGCAGCAGAUGGCGGGAGCCCCCCAGAGCCCUCUGGUUGCCGCCCACGGCCAUGGGGUCCCAGGGGAGGGUGACUGCCCAAACUGGCAUGCACGGAGGCGAGGUCACAGGAGUGGCCUCAAACCCCUUCACCCACCCCCAGGGGACUCCCCCGCAGGUCACCCAGAGCCGGAUGAGGCUUCACAUGUGUGCACCUAAGGCCGGUCAGCGAUGCCUUAGACUGGGAUGCUCAAGACACAUCUGGGAAUGA
rnacentral:lncRNA from 1 species